rnacentral:rRNA from 1 species
GACGAACGCUGGCGGCGUGCUUAACACAUGCAAGUCGAACGGAAAGGCCCUGCUUUUGUGGGGUGCUCGAGUGGCGAACGGGUGAGUAACACGUGAGUAACCUGCCCUUGACUUUGGGAUAACUUCAGGAAACUGGGGCUAAUACCGGAUAGGAGCUCCUGCUGCAUGGUGGGGGUUGGAAAGUUUCGGCGGUUGGGGAUGGACUCGCGGCUUAUCAGCCUGUUGGUGGGGUAGUGGCUUACCAAGGCUUUGACGAGUAGCCGGCCUGAGAGGGUGACCGGCCACAUUGGGACUGAGAUACGGCCCAGACUCCUACGGGAGGCAGCAGUGGGGAAUAUUGCACAAUGGGCGGAAGCCUGAUGCAGCAACGCCGCGUGCGGGAUGACGGCCUUCGGGUUGUAAACCGCUUUCGCCUGUGACGAAGCGUGAGUGACGGUAAUGGGUAAAGAAGCACCGGCUAACUACGUG